UACGGGGGGGGCAAGCGUUGUUCGGAAUUACUGGGCGUAAAGGGCUCGUAGGCGGCCCUCUCAGUCGGAUGUGAAAUCCCCAGGCUCAACUUGGGAACUGCAUCCGAUACUGGAUGGCUUGAAUUCGGGAGAGGGAUGCAGAAUUCCAGGUGUAGCAGUGAAAUGCGUAGAUAUCUGGAGGAAUACCGGUGGCGAAGGCGGCAUCCUGGACCGACAUUGACGCUGAGGAGCGAAAGCUAGGGGAGCAAACGGG
rnacentral:rRNA from 1 species